rnacentral:rRNA from 1 species
AAACUAACAAGGAUUCCCCUAGUAACGGCGAGUGAACCGGGAAGAGCUCAAAUUUGAAAUCUGGCGUCCUCAGGGCGUCCGAGUUGUAAUCUAUAGAGGCGUUUUCCGUGCCGGACCGUGUCCAAGUUCCUUGGAACAGGAUAUCAAAGAGGGUGACAAUCCCGUACUUGACACGACGACCGGUGCUCUGUGAUACGUCUUCUACGAGUCGAGUUGUUUGGGAAUGCAGCUCAAAAUGGGUGGUGAGUUCCAUCUAAAGCUAAAUAUUGGCGAGAGACCGAUAGCGAACAAGUACCGUGAGGGAAAGAUGAAAAGCACUUUGGAAAGAGAGUUAAACAGUACGUGAAAUUGUUGAAAGGGAAACGAUUGAAGUCAGUCGUGACCGAGAGGCUCAGCCGGUUCUGCCGGUGUAUUCCCCUCGGUCGGGUCAACAUCAGUUUUGUCCGGUGGAUAAGGGCGGUAGGAAGGUGGCACCCUCGGGUGUGUUAUAGCCUGCCGUCGCAUACAUCGGGUGAGACUGAGGAACGCAGCUCGCCUUUAUGGCCGGGGUUCGCCCACGUCCGAGCUUAGGAUGUUGACAUAAUGGCUUUAAACGAC